CACGUAGUUAGUUUUCCGUGGCUUUCUGAUUAGGUACCGUCAAGAUGUGCACAGUUACUUACACAUUUGUUCUUCCCUAAUAACAGAGUUUUACGAGCCGAAACCCUUCAUCACUCACGCGGCGUUGCUCCGUCAGGCUUUCGCCCAUUGCGGAAGAUUCCCUACUGCUGCCUCCCGUAGGAGUCUGGACCGUGUCUCAGUUCCAGUGUGGCCGAUCCACCCUCUCAGGUCGGCUACGUAUCGUCGCCUUGGUAAGCCGUUACCUUACCAACUAGCUAAUACGGCGCGGGUCCAUCUAUAAGUGAUAGCAAACCAUCUUUCACUUUAGAACCAUGCGGUUACUAAAUGUUAUCCGGUAUUAGCUUCCGGUUUCCCGAAGUUACUCCCUAGUCUUAUAGGUUAGGUUACCCACGUGUUACCUCCACCCGGUCCGACCGUCUUAAACUUCGAAAAGGU
rnacentral:rRNA from 1 species